CAAUAGCGUAUAUUAAAGUUGUUGCGGUUAAAAAGCUCGUAGUUGGAUUUCUGCUGAGAACGACCGGUCCGCCCUUUGGGUGUGUAUCUGGCUCUUUCUUGGCAUCUUCUUGGUGAACGUUGCUGCACUUGACUGUGUGGAGCGCUACCCAGGACUUUUACUUUGAGGAAAUUAGAGUGUUUCAAGCAGGCAUACGCCUUGAAUACAUUAGCAUGGAAUAAUAAGAUAGGACCUCGGUUCUAUUUUGUUGGUUUCUAGAGCUGAGGUAAUGAUUAAUAGGGACGGUUGGGGGCAUUAGUAUUCAGUUGCUAGAGGUGAAAUUCUUAGAUUUACUGAAGACUAACUACUGCGAAAGCAUUUGCCAAGGACGUUUUCAUUAA
rnacentral:rRNA from 1 species